rnacentral:tRNA from 1 species
UGGGUUGUGGCUCAGUGGCAGAGCACUUGCCUAGCAUGUGUGAGGCACUGGGUUCAAUUCUCAGCACCACAU